AAGUAAUCAUUGCAUUUUCAGAACAUAAAUAGUAUCAAAUUGAUUAAAUAUUGUAUUCUU
rnacentral:tRNA from 1 species